rnacentral:tRNA from 1 species
GGGCCGGUAGCUCAGGGGUUAGAGCAGCGGACUCAUAAUCCGUCGCGCGGAGGUUCGAAUCCUCCCCGGCCCA